GACGAACGCUGGCGGCGUGCCUAAUACAUGCAAGUAGAACGCUGAAGGAGGAGCUUGCUUCUCUGGAUGAGUUGCGAACGGGUGAGUAACGCGUAGGUAACCUGCCUUGUAGCGUGGGAUAACUAUUGGAAACGAUAGCUAAUACCGCAUAAUAGUACAUGUUGCAUGACAUUUGCUUAAAAGGUCCAAUUGCAUCACUACCAGAUGGACCUGCGUUGGAUUAGCUAGUUGGUGUGGUAACGGAUCUCCAAGGCAACGAUACAUAGCCGACCUGAGAGGGGGAGCGGCCAGCCUGGGAGGGUGACACGGCCCAGACGGACACGGGAAGCAGCCGGAGGGAAACGUGGGCCAGGAGCGGAGAACUGACCGAGCAGGGCCGAGGGAGUGAAGAAGGAUGUCGGAUCGGAAAGGUCUGUUGUCAGGGAAGAAAGCGUGUGCGAGUGGAAAGUUCACAGUGUGACGGUAACUUACCAGAAAGCGCCGGCUAACUACGUG
rnacentral:rRNA from 1 species